rnacentral:lncRNA from 1 species
GCACGGUGCAGGCGUACACGGGCAGGGGCUGUGCGCACGCGCGGCCAGCGGCCGCCUACGUGCAGCUGGCUCUGACGGUUGCUAGGGUGACAGGAAUACAAUAUGGCGGUGGGCCCCUUCAGGCUCUCUGGUGGAGGUACCGCUGCGGGGGUCCCCAGCCCCACUUCCCGCCCUUUCUUUCCAGUCCAGGGUCAGCGAGGCGUUAUCGCCAGCGCCUGCAUCCGGGAUGAAGAAGUGCCACUGUCAGCGCAUCACAGUCUGGGUGGAGUUGGAUCAUGGCUCUGGCACCCUUCAAGUUCCACUCCUUAGAGGCGACCGCACACUUUCCAUUGUGUCUCACUGUGUGUGUCUGUGUAAAUGCGUGUGUCUCAGGGAGGGGGAGUGUGAAGAAAGAAGUGGGGAUAUCAUGCACAGACUACAAAGCACUCAGCAAGAUAGGAGAGGGGACAUUUUCUGAAGUCCUAAAGAUGCAGAGCCUGCUCGAUGGGGGAUUCUACACCUGUAAACAGAUGAAGCAGCACUUCAUAGGUGGGCAGGCGGAGCAGGC